GUAAGGUACGAUAGUCAUUACCGUAACCACCACGGACUUCCGCUGAGCGCCCGUCUCCGCGAAAGUACUGACCCUGGACCCCCAGUUGCCUGGGUCCACCUGUCGAACCAAACACAAGCCUCUUUUAGGUCUCUUUCACUCAUCUGAGCAGGACUUGGCUACCCAGAAACGCCACCUAACACCCGCAGCUUCGCCCCAUCAUCUGUGACUACCUACUGUGCCCGUGAGACUGUCCAGUCUAUAGACUGCCGCUCAGAGAAGAGCUUCACUCCAAACUCCAGGAGAAACAUCAGUCAAAGAUACCGGUAUACCCGACCUUUUUAAGGGGGGAAGACAGUGCGAAUGUGAGAGGUGUUUCUUCCUCAGAGUAAGAAGCCAUCAGAAGUUAUGCUUCCACACAGCAGAGCUGUUUAAUCGUUCACACUUGGAAAAGACACCGAUACAUAGGGUGGGCAGGAUGGCUGCAGAAACCCCACAGAGCAGGAAUUGGGAGCCACAGUCUGAGCUGAAGAAAGGGCAGAAGGCCUGUCUUACUGUUGCUUGCACAAUGAUAUUCGCCCAAUAUUGAGAAAGUGUCCAUUGUUCAUAUUAAAAAUGGGGAAGGGGGUUGAUACAGACCGCACCUCCCACCCCAAGCAUGCUCCAUCUGCCACUGGAAGGAUGGGAGCUUCAUAAAGCUCUAGAGGACGAGGCAGAGCCUGGGAAACAGACUGCCAGGCCCACCCCACUCAGCAACUUUGAUCAUGUUUCAAACUUAGAGAAAAUUAGCAAAAAUAUAAGUGUAAUAUUGUAUUGUGUCCCAUUCACUUUAUCAGUGUCUCUCUCUAUUUUUCCCACACCAUUCAUGAGUAAGUUGGAGACGUCAAGACACUCUAUCCCUGAAGAUUUCCAUGUAUUUUCUCAGAACAGGGACGCUGUCUUAUAUAACCAUGGCACAACCAUCAAAGUCAGGAAACUGUAUACUAAUAUAAAACUAUGACAGGGAUGCCCAUAGGUCCCUGGUAGAGCUUGAGUCUGUUCAGGGACCAUGUCCUGCAUAAAUGCAUAUCUGUGUUUGAGGCUGUGCUCCACACACCUAGACCACUGCGAACCAAAGGAGCACUCCAAGGUGGAACACAGAUCAAAAUCAUGUCUCAUUUUCCCUUAUUCUUAUUAAUUUGACACAGAAAUCCUGUAGCCCACUAUCCUCCCACCAUUUUCUAAGGUGGCCAGAUAUUUCCACCAUAGAAAUUGAGGCUUUUUUUUUUAGGAUUAGUCUAUAGAUAACCCUUUGUGUGGGCUCUCACAUGCAGUUUUUUAGCCUCUUACAUUUUCUAGACUAUGGGUCCUGUCCCUGCAUCCCACACUCACGUGCACACCACACAUGCACACUCACUCACUCACAUGCCUUGUUUCCUUGUGUUCUUUUGUUGACAAGUUUUCUUCUCCCUCUCCUAAAACAAUUUCCAAA
rnacentral:lncRNA from 1 species